rnacentral:rRNA from 1 species
GACGAACGCUGGCGGCGUGCCUAAUACAUGCAAGUAGAACGCUGAAGGAGGAGCUUGCUCUUCUGGAUGAGUUGCGAACGGGUGAGUAACGCGUAGGUAACCUGCCUGGUAGCGGGGGAUAACUAUUGGAAACGAUAGCUAAUACCGCAUAAUAGUAGAUGUUGCAUGACAUUUGCUUGAAAGGUGCAAUUGCAUCACUACCAGAUGGACCUGCGUUGUAUUAGCUAGUUGGUGGGGUAACGGCUCACCAAGGCGACGAUACAUAGCCGACCUGAGAGGGUGAUCGGCCACACUGGGACUGAGACACGGCCCAGACUCCUACGGGAGGCAGCAGUAGGGAAUCUUCGGCAAUGGACGGAAGUCUGACCGAGCAACGCCGCGUGAGUGAAGAAGGUUUUCGGAUCGUAAAGCUCUGUUGUAAGAGAAGAACGAGUGUGAGAGUAGAAAGUUCACACUGUGACGGUAUCUUACCAGAAAGGGACGGCUAACUACGUGCCAGCAGCCGCGGUAAUACGUAGGUCCCGAGCGUUGUCCGGAUUUAUUGGGCGUAAAGCGAGCGCAGGCGGUUAGAUAAGUCUGAAGUUAAAGGCUGUGGCUUAACCAUAGCACGCUUUGGAAACUGUUUAACUUGAGUGCAAGAGGGGAGAGUGGAAUUCCAUGUGUAGCGGUGAAAUGCGUAGAUAUAUGGAGGAACACCGGUGGCGAAAGCGGCUCUCUGGCUUGUAACUGACGCUGAGGCUCGAAAGCGUGGGGAGCAAACAGG